AAAUAAAAACUACCAAAAAAAAAAAAAAAAAAAAAGAAAGAAAGAAAAACCGAUUCUGAAACCCCUAGAAGUCCUGGAAUACAGAAAUGCCCUCCUCCUUCACUAUUUCACAGGAAGCACUGUAAGCUAUUUGCUUAACAAUGUCCUGACAUUACAUUCUAAAUUUUUAAUAUCUGGUUAC